UACAGAGGUCCCAAGCGUUGUUCGGAUUCACUGGGCGUAAAGGGCGCGUAGGUGGCCCGACAAGUCGCUGGUGAAAGCUCGACGCUCAACGUCGAGUCGGCCAGUGAUACUGUUGGGCUGGAGCACUGUAGAGGCUCAUGGAAUUCCGGGUGUAGCGGUGGAAUGCGUAGAGAUCCGGAAGAACACCGGUGGCGAAGGCGGUGAGCUGGGCAGUUGCUGACACUGAGGCGCGACAGCGUGGAGAGCAAACAGG
rnacentral:rRNA from 1 species